UACGUAGGGUGCAAGCGUUGUCCGGAAUUAUUGGGCGUAAAGAGCUCGUAGGCGGUUUGUCGCGUCUGCUGUGAAAACUCGGGGCUUAACCCCGGGCCUGCAGUGGGUACGGGCAGACUAGAGUGCGGUAGGGGAGACUGGAAUUCCUGGUGUAGCGGUGAAAUGCGCAGAUAUCGGAAGGAACACCGGUGGCGAAAGCGGCGCGCUGGACCUCUUCUGACGCUGAGGCGCGAAAGCCAGGGGAGCGAACGGG
rnacentral:rRNA from 1 species